rnacentral:rRNA from 1 species
GCAUAUCAAUAAGCGGAGGAAAAGAAACCAACAGGGAUUGCCUUAGUAACUGCGAGUGAAAGCGGCAAAAGCUCAAAUUUGAAAUCUGGCGUCUUUGACGUCCGAAUUGUAAUUUGGAGAGACAUCUUCGGAGUAGACGCCGUCCUAAGUUCCUUGGAACAGGACGUCACAGAGGGUGAGAAUCCCGUGCCUGGAUGGCUGUUCUACUUCAUGUGAAGUGUCUUCGACGAGUCGAGUUGUUUGGGAAUGCAGCUCAAAAUGGGAGGUAAAUUUCUUCUAAAGCUAAAUAUUGGCGAGAGACCGAUAGCGCACAAGUAGAGUGAUCGAAAGAUGAAAAGCACUUUGAAAAGAGAGUUAAAAAGUACGUGAAAUUGUUGAAAGGGAAGCGCUUGAGACCAGACUCGAUCAGUGGUGAUCAGCGGUGCUUCUGUACCGUGCACUUGCCAUUGAUUGGGCCAGCAUCGGUUUAGACGGCGGGAUAAAGACCUAAGGAAUGUGGCUCCUCUCGGGGAGUGUUAUAGCCUUGGGUGCAAUGCCGCCAGUUUGGACCGAGGACCGCGCUUCGGCUAGGAUGCUGGCGUAAUGGUCUUCAGCGACCCGUCUUGAAACACGGACCAAGGAGUCUAACAUCUAUGCGAGUGUUCGGGUGGAAAACCCUUGCGCGUAAUGAAAGUGAACGGAGGUGAGAACACUUCGGUGUGCAUCAUCGACCGAUCCAGAUGUCUUCGGAUGGAUUUGAGUAUGAGCAUAGCUGUUGGGACCCGAAAGAUGGUGAACUAUGCCUGAAUAGGGUGAAGCCAGAGGAAACUCUGGUGGAGGCUCGCAGCGGUUCUGACGUGCAAAUCGAUCGUCAAAUUUGGGUAUAGGGGGCGAAAGACUAAUCGAACCAUCUAGUAGCUGGUUCCUGCCGAAGUU